rnacentral:rRNA from 1 species
UAGGGAAUCUUCGGCAAUGGGGGCAACCCUGACCGAGCAACGCCGCGUGAGUGAAGAAGGUUUUCGGAUCGUAAAGCUCUGUUGUAAGUCAAGAACGGGUGUGAGAGUGGAAAGUUCACACUGUGACGGUAGCUUACCAGAAAGGGACGGCUAACUACGUGCCAGCAGCCGCGGUAAUACGUAGGUCCCGAGCGUUGUCCGGAUUUAUUGGGCGUAAAGCGAGCGCAGGCGGUUUGAUAAGUCUGAAGUUAAAGGCUGUGGCUCAACCAUAGUUCGCUUUGGAAACUGUCAAACUUGAGUGCAGAAGGGGAGUGUGGAAUUCCAUGUGUAGCGGUGAAAUGCGUAGAUAUAUGGAGGAACACCGGUGGCGAAAGCGGCUCUCUGGUCUGUAACUGACGCUGAGGCUCGAAAGCGUGGGGAGCGAACAGG